UGGCGUUGUAUUGACUUAGCUCGACUUGAUUACACUAGGUAGUUUGAAACUUUGAACAACCUUAUGAAAUGUCUCGAUUAUGAAGUUUCCAUCAUCUUUAUGUAGAAACACCCUGCGGCUUCACAAAUGAUGUCAAUGAUUCCAACAAUAUAUUCCUGAAAAUGUCCAGCAGUUCAUACAUUUUAAAUGGGUAUCAACCUAAGAUACAGGGACAAACAUUUGAUUACGGAACAAGAUAGCAGGUAAUUCAAGUUAGCAAGCAAUAACAGAUUGUAAAGUUGAUGCUUUUUGAUGGGUUCCAUGCCAGAAGUUCAGAUUAGAAGCAACGUGAAUAUGAGCCCCAAAAGGUUGGUGUCAUGGCACAUAUUACUUUCAUACCUAAGAUGCUAAAAUGGGAGUUCAUGAAAGGUGAUAUCUUUUGACAGCUUCCCCGACCAUAAUUUAUCCACCGUACAACCUCAUGUUCUGUGCCUUCAUAAUAAGGUAUCAAGGGCAUUUUCUUUGUACAUAAGAAGCCCCAUGCUCUUCAUACUCGGACUUGGAGAACCACAUCUGCUGGAACGAACCAAGAGAUGCCAAUAUACUCCCGCCUAUCCAUACACUGAAUCUCCUUUCUGUUGCAUUUCCACUGGCCAGCACUUUAACUCUAGCAGCUUGAGGAGACUCCUCAAGCAAGUCUUUCUCAAGACGUUCCUUCAACUGUUGCAUUGAUGCUGUGCCACCAGCAAGCAGUAUACUGCUAAAAAGUUCCCUUCGAAUAUCCACAUCACAUCUAUUAAUGCUCUCUAUCACCAUUUGUGGCAAACCACGAACAUUAGGAGCAAUCUCCGCAAAACUCUCCAUACCAGGAAUUGUCUGAGCCAAGGACGGAUUGAAUAGAAUAUCUGGAAUCUUGAAUCUAUCAGCUCCUAUUUCAAUUGUCUGGCCAUCAGGAAGCUCAUACGGAGUCAUUGGAAUAUUUGAGUAUGCACUUUCAUCAUAAGUUGUGUCCGGGGCUCGACAGACACUGUCCUUGAUAUCACUUGCAAUGACCCUCUGAGAGUAAAGUCUGUAGCUUUCACUUGUAUUUGGAAUAUCAAGAUCCACAAUCUGAAACUCGCCUGGCCUGAUUUCCUUUCUCUUAAAGGAGUGCCUGGGUUUUAUUGUGAUACCUUUGCUCUUUAAGCUUUUCAUCAAGCAAUCAGUAAGAAACUCUCCUCCUACAGGAGAAGAAACCACUGCCUAUUAUCACAAGGGGAAAAGUUCAUCAGUCUGUCACAAGAUGAUAAAUUUGUAUUCAACCUUUCCCAACAUUAAAAAAACACAAACUUAACCAGAUUUUUAUUGUCAUGAGAAAAUCUUGAUAAUUAAUAAAGGAAGAAGAAAGUACGAUAGGAGAUAAGUUCCAACUAAUUAGGAAAGGAAGUGUGUUGUAAAAAAAAUAACAAAAUAAAAAGAGCCAUAGAUUUUGUUUCAGUUAAUGAAGGCCAUUAUAUAAUACCCCUUUGAAAAUCACCACCAUAUUCACCCCCUAAUCUGCUUCAUUUCUUUAGUAGGUUUUUUUUUUUAAUUUUUAUUUGGAUUUACUAUAAAAGUAGCUCAACAAUCAUCACUCUAGGACAAUAUUACAAUUGUAUUCAUUAACUUUUAUAUGUAGUCUUGUGAGAAUAGAUAGUUCUAUUUAUGGAAGGCAUGUGAUAUCACUUGAUAGUGCUUUACUAAUAACAAGUCUUACUUUGAAUAUAGAUUGUCUAAAUUCAUUGUGAACAUUAGUUUUGUAUAAUUUUAGUUGAGAGUCUUGCAAAUUUGUGAAUUCGAGGUAAUUUGCUAGUCUAAAAAUGAAAUUAACAUCAUUGCGGUCACAACUCACAAAUAAUGUCUCUCACAGGCUCACAGCCUGUUCCCAAAGCAUGGUGACAUGACAAAGAAAAAGUGCUCAUAAGUUGUUCAUGGGAAGAGAAUGAGGAAAACAAGGUUGAAGCAGAUGUAAAAAGUUCAACAAAAUACUUCAUCGUUUUUUACUGCUUAGCAACCACAACACAAAUUCAACAAAAUACAUCAGUAGCAUUAUCUCUAUGCAUGUUUAGGACAAUUCAUGCUUGCAUAUGUUGCAGCCAGGUUAGAUUCAUAAUUGUUCAUAGGAUAUAGAGAAAAGACCUGCAAUCAUCUGAAACAAUAAUAAAAGCACAAGAUAGCCAAAGCAUACCUUCACAUACACGCAGAUUUCAAGAUACUUCACAAAUCAUUGGUUCACUAACAGAAGGGGCACAACAUAAGGCACAAGAUAACCAAAGGAGAUCACUUUGAUACAAAAACAAGCAUGCACACAUGCUUGUACAUAGAUAUUAAAAUGGUUUGCGAAUCUUCAGCUGACUUUCAAAGGGAAAGAAUGAAAAUUGAUAUCAAAAUCCACCAAAUUUGAUAAUUUUCAAUGGAACUACCCAACAAUCUCAAGUCAACUAGAGCAUAAUGUUGAGUUACAUAUUUUUCUUAUAGUACAGCUCAGUCAAAUAAUAAUGAAGCAUAUGAACAGUACAAGAUAGCGAAGAAAGAG
rnacentral:misc_RNA from 1 species